rnacentral:tRNA from 1 species
GCACUUGUGGCCUAAUUGGAUAAGGCGUCGGUCUACGAAACCGGACAUUGCAAGUUCAAAUCUUGCCAAGUGCG